GACGUAGGGGGCAAGCGUUAUUCGGAAUCACUGGGCUUAAAGCGUGUGUAGGCGGAUAUCUAAGUACCUUGUGAAAUCCCACGGCUCAACCGUGGAACUGCUUGGUAUACUGGGUGUCUUGAGCCAUCUAGGGGCUACCGGAACAAAUGGUGGAGCGGUGAAAUGCGUAGAUAUCAUUUGGAACGCCAAUGGUGAAAACAGGUAGCUGGGGAUGUGCUGACGCUGAGACACGAAAGCCAGGGGAGCAAACGGG
rnacentral:rRNA from 1 species